AUGGAUCUCUAGGCUCUCAUAUCGAUGAAGAACACAGUGAAAUGUGAUAAGUAAUGUGAAUUGCAGAAUCCAGUGAAUCAUUGAAUCUUUGAACGCACCUUGCACCUUUUGGUAUUCCAAAAGGUACACCUGUUUGAGUGUCAUGAAAAUCUCUC
rnacentral:rRNA from 1 species